rnacentral:lncRNA from 1 species
UUUUCAAUGGGAACAUUUUACUAAGAGCUGAGAAAUCCACUAAAUGAAUAGGAUUCAAACUCUACUCUACAUAAAUUACAUAUACGAAGAAAAGAAAAUAUUUAGUAUAAAUAAUAAACCUCUGCAGUAGCACAGUAUGCCUAAAAUUGCAGUAACGUUGGACUUAUCCAAACCAUGGAAAGUGGCAUAAUAAAAUGGCUAGCAGAGAGCACUACAAGGGAGGAGAAGAGUUUACCUCUAACAUUAAAUAAAUU